rnacentral:rRNA from 1 species
CACGUAGGGCGCAAGCGUUGUCCGGAAUUAUUGGGCGUAAAGAGCUCGUAGGCGGCCUGUCGCGUCGGUUGUGAAAGCCCGGGGCUUAACCCCGGGUCUGCAGUCGAUACGGGCAGGCUAGAGUUCGGUAGGGGAGAUCGGAAUUCCUGGUGUAGCGGUGAAAUGCGCAGAUAUCAGGAGGAACACCGGUGGCGAAGGCGGAUCUCUGGGCCGAUACUGACGCUGAGGAGCGAAAGCGUGGGGAGCGAACAGG